rnacentral:rRNA from 1 species
GACAGAGGGGGCAAGCGUUGUUCGGAAUUACUGGGCGUAAAGCGCGUGUAGGCGGCCCUGCAAGUCGGAUGUGAAAUCCCACGGCUCAACCGUGGAAGUGCAUUCGAAACUGCAGGGCUAGAGUCCUGGAGAGGAAGGUGGAAUGCUUGGUGUAGAGGUGAAAUUCGUAGAUAUCAAGCGGAACACCGGUGGCGAAGGCGGCCUUCUGGACAGUGACUGACGCUGAGACGCGAAAGCGUGGGGAGCAAACAGG